GUCUUGAUCAGCGUCAGUGUCAGUGCUGCCCCAGCACAGUGGAAUUUCACCGCAGACAUCAUGGUCAGGAUCAGCAACAUGGGAAUUGUCUCAUUAUGCAUAGUAUUGCUGCUGGGGUCAGAGAUCUGCAUAGCAGCAAGGCAAGAACUGAUAGUUACCACCAUCAAGCAAGACCCCUACACAAUGAGCAAGGGCUCGCAGUUGGAAGGCUACUGUAUGGAUCUGCUCACUGAGCUGGCUAAGAAACUGGGUUUCAAAUACAAAGUUCACCUGGUGAAGGAUGGAGCGUAUGGCCGGCAGGAUGAAAGUGGAAACUGGAACGGAAUGAUCGGGGAGGUUGUUAGAGGGGAAGCUGAUCUGGCCGUGGCUCCCCUCACUCUCACUGCUGCCCGUGAGAAGGCAGUGGGAAUGACAAAACCUUACAUGCAGACCGGAAUCAGUAUCCUCCUCCGCAAAGAUAUCGUUUCUGAGGAGGCCGGGUUUUUUGACUUCCUCUCCCCCUUCUCUGGGGAGACCUGGUUCGGCAUCCUGAUUGCAUAUUUUGUGACUGCAGUCUGCAUCUGCAUUGUAGGAAGGUUGAGUCCAUGUGAAUGGAGUCAGCCUGAGACAGAGCCAAAUCACUUCACUCUCCUCCACAGUUUGUGGUACGCUGCGGGAGCCCUAAGCCUGCAAGGUGCAGGCCCUCACCCUAAAGCUAUGUCAGGAAGGGUUAUCAGUUGUACCUGGUGGUUGUUUGCCGUGGUGCUCCUGGCCUGUUAUUUUUCUAGCCUCAGUUCCUCUCAGGGGCCUGACUCUGCACCCCUCAUGAUUAAAGGUUUUGAGGACUUGGCUAACCAGGAUGUAAUAGAAUAUGGAACACUUGCCAGCUCCUCCACUCUUGCCUUCUUUAAGAACUCAAAUAACCCAUCUUACCGUCGUAUCUAUGAGCACAUGGAGCGGAGAAAGAGUUUUGUGUCCUCCAUGGAUGAAGGUGUCCAGAGAGCAAAGGAAGGAAACUAUGCUUUUAUUGGAGAAUCGGUGUCCUUGGACUUGGCUGUGGCACGCCAUUGUGAACUGGUCCGGGCGCAUGAGGUCAUCGGGAUGAGAGGUUACAGCAUUGUAACUCCUCUUGGAUCUCAAAUGCUGAAGAACCUGAGCGUGGCCAUCCUGCAGCUGAGUGAGGCAGGGGAGCUGGCGUACCUGCGCACUAAGUGGUGGGCCAGCAGCUGUAUACCGGAUAGUGCCAAAGGCUCGUCUCUGAGGGCCCAUAGCAUGAAGGGCAUCUUCCUGGUUCUGGCUAUAGGCCUUGGGAUUGGAGUGCUGCUCUCCUUGUUUGAACUCACCUCAAAGUCUCGCAGCACUGCAGGGGAGCAGAAGAAAUCCUGCUGUGCAGUUUUGACUCGGGAGCUGAGCCAGCGUUUGAGAAUGACCGACACAAAGGGAGACCAGGAAACCUCAGACAAAAACAAGGCAUAAAAUUCUCAACAACACUGAUGUAAUAUGCAAGUCUUACAUUAUUAG
ensembl:lncRNA